AGUGAACGCUGGCGGUAGGCCUAACACAUGCAAGUCGAACGGCAGCACAGUAAGAGCUUGCUCUUACGGGUGGCGAGUGGCGGACGGGUGAGGAAUACAUCGGAAUCUACUUUUUCGUGGGGGAUAACGUAGGGAAACUUACGCUAAUACCGCAUACGACCUACGGGUGAAAGCAGGGGAUCUUCGGACCUUGCGCGAUUGAAUGAGCCGAUGUCGGAUUAGCUAGUUGGCGGGGUAAAGGCCCACCAAGGCGACGAUCCGUAGCUGGUCUGAGAGGAUGAUCAGCCACACUGGAACUGAGACACGGUCCAGGCGCCUGCGGGAGGCAGCAGUGGGGAAUAUUGGACAAUGGGCGCAAGCCUGAUCCAACCAUACCGCGUGGGUGAAGAAGGCCUUCGGGUUGUAAAGCCCUUUUGUUGGGAAAGAAAAGCAGCAGGUUAAUACCCCGCUGUUCUGACGGUACCCAAAGAAUAAGCACCGGCUAACUUCGUG
rnacentral:rRNA from 1 species